GCAAGGCAGACCAUAUCGCAUUGUGGGGGUUCGAGGUCGUUCAUUCAUCAUAUGGACCAGAUGGUAAGUAAUUUUUAAUUAAUAUAUUUUAACUCUUUAACUAUUUAAAAAAUUUUAAUUAAUUAUUUUUAAAUUACAGAAAGAUGCAGAGAGUGGCGAGCUUCUUGGUAGGACUGAUAUCUACCAGUGAAACCACCAGCGAUGGUCAG
rnacentral:lncRNA from 1 species